AGCCAUUUUGACUGCAGCCAUGCUGGAUAAAUAACAAAAUGAAUGGAAAGCGAACCGUCAUUGAAGGAAUUAGUAGGACGAAUCGACCUCAGGAUGGAUUUUGGAGGCCUGGUACUCAUUCUGUCGGUUUCGUUUGUCGAACCGCCAUUGACAUGCAGCCAUAUUGGACACCGCCUAGAAAAGUGUCGACGUCGAAAUCAGCCUGUAGCACGUAAUCGACUUUUUAGUCUGGUAGCUAAGUUAUCGACUCUUUUGCCGAACCGCUAUGUUAUUGAGAAGUAAACACAUUAACACUAGUUGUCAAACGGUGGAUGAUGAACACCUCUAAUACUAACACACACACACACAA